UACGUAGGGCGCAAGCGUUAUCCGGAAUCAUUGGGCGUAAAGAGCGUGUAGGCGGCCCGGUAAGUCCGCUGUGAAAGUCGGGGGCUCAACCCUCGAAUGCCGGUGGAUACUGUCGGGCUAGAGUGCGGAAGAGGCGAGUGGAAUUCCUGGUGUAGCGGUGGAAUGCGCAGAUAUCAGGAGGAACACCAACGGCGAAGGCAGCUCGCUGGGACGGUACUGACGCUGAGGCGCGAAAGCGUGGGGAGCGAACAGG
rnacentral:rRNA from 1 species